CGUACACUCCUGCGGGAGGCAGCAGUGGGGAAUAUUGCACAAUGGGCGCAAGCCUGAUGCAGCCAUGCCGCGUGUAUGAAGAAGGCCUUCGGGUUGUAAAGUACUUUCAGCGGGGAGGAAGGUGUUGAGGUUAAUAACCUCAGCAAUUGACGUUACCCGCAGAAGAAGCACCGGCUAACUCCGUGCCAGCAGCCGCGGUAAUACGGAGGGUGCAAGCGUUAAUCGGAAUUACUGGGCGUAAAGCGCACGCAGGCGGUCUGUCAAGUCGGAUGUGAAAUCCCCGGGCUCAACCUGGGAACUGCAUUCGAAACUGGCAGGCUAGAGUCUUGUAGAGGGGGGUAGAAUUCCAGGUGUAGCGGUGAAAUGCGUAGAGAUCUGGAGGAAUACCGGUGGCGAAGGCGGCCCCCUGGACAAAGACUGACGCUCAGGUGCGAAAGCGUGGGGAGCAAACAGGAUUAGAAACCCCAGUAGUCCCAUGA
rnacentral:rRNA from 1 species